AGCGAACGCUGGCGGCAGGCUUAACACAUGCAAGUCGAACGGGCGUAGCAAUACGUCAGUGGCAGACGGGUGAGUAACGCGUGGGAACGUACCUUUUGGUUCGGAACAACCCAGGGAAACUUGGGCUAAUACCGGAUAAGCCCUUACGGGGAAAGAUUUAUCGCCGAAAGAUCGGCCCGCGUCUGAUUAGCUAGUUGGUGAGGUAACGGCUCACCAAGGCGACGAUCAGUAGCUGGUCUGAGAGGAUGAUCAGCCACAUUGGGACUGAGACACGGCCCAAACUCCUACGGGAGGCAGCAGUGGGGAAUAUUGGACAAUGGGCGCAAGCCUGAUCCAGCCAUGCCGCGUGAGUGAUGAAGGCCCUAGGGUUGUAAAGCUCUUUUGUGCGGGAAGAUAAUGACGGUACCGCAAGAAUAAGCCCCGGCUAACUUCGUGCCAGCAGCCGCAGUAAU
rnacentral:rRNA from 1 species